ACUAUAAAAGCUAAACAAAAUUCCUUUAAUUAACUGAUUUUUAUAUGAAAUAUAUAAACGCCUCCCUUCUCUUCCAUUUACUGCAAACUCUAAAUUAUCCAGCUAUAAAUAAACCAUUCUGCAGUGUGCGGCACGGCGACUUUAUUAAAUUUUGCGGAAGGCAGAGAAAUCGUGAGUAUCGCACAAAGGAUGAUUAUCAUCACGCGGAGCAUCGACAUUAUACUCAGUGUAUUAAGUGAAGAUGCUUAUCCAGUUGCCCCAGCUGAGAGACAGUUGGGCAGCCAGCCAAGCAGCUCCUAGGCACGUGCAGAGGCGCAGAGGCGGGAAGUAGGUGUUUGUAACUGGAGCAACUGCUAGGGAACUCCUUCAGCCGCAUUUUGGAGUACGUGGCAAGUAGCGCUUGUAUACGAAAUUAUUCUCUUCUGAUUUGCGGAAUGCGGCCCAUGGUGCGUGGGCUGCCUCAACUCAUUAACCGCAAACAAGUUAAGGACCAAACAGCUGUCGAGCUGUGCGAGUUCAAGGCAUAUAAAAGCGAAACAUGAAUAUUUUGUGGACGAGGCGGGGACGUGGCAGGCACAAAUCAAAACAGCGUAAAAAAAGCAAGAGGGAAGCAUGCGAAACUGCAAUAAAACAAGUGAAUUACGCGAAGGAAACGCGCCAGGCGCAAAAAGAAAAACAGAAUAAUAAAGCGGGAAUAUUAAGAAAAAUAUCAUAUUGGACGGACGGGCGAGAACAGCAGUCGCCGCAGCCUUAAAGUAUGCUACGAAAAUUUGCUUAAUCUCUGCGCAGCAGAUACGAGCCCAGGCAACAAACUAAAAAGUUAUAAAAAGUCACACCCACACUCACACGCACGCACGCAACACACGUAAAUUGUGCGCAGAGCAAAAUAUAAAAAGAUACAAUGACGGCCGCUCUCCCACCCAGUACUUGCCCCAAUUGGUGGCACAAACUUGCGUAAUGGGGCUCGACCAAGCGGCAAAGGCGACUCGAUGACUCGCUGCCAGACGGAGCCUGCGGCUGCGGCUACGGCUGUCUCCAAGAUUGAGUUUGAGCCUUGAGUGGAGACUCGAGACAAAGUCUGAGAUUGUGCCAUGAAAUGAGUUUCAGCCUCGUCAUGCAGCAUUCGCAACGACUUAACUACUAAAAGCAUUUAAUAAACGUUAGACACAGCCCUACACAAACGCACACACACUAACACUGGGGGCUCUUCUCAUACUAAAAUUAACCAGCUAAAUCCCGUGGGCACUUAAGUCAGGAUCAAGUCUACCAAUAAAACCAUCCAACAGACGUACUCAUAACAUGUCAGCCCCCUUCGCCCUUCCUCCAUUCCACUUACAUACUUAAUUUGCCUACACUUGUCAAGAAGUCCAUCCCCCCGCUCUCAACACACUACGAACUUUGGAUUGGUGUGCAAAUUGAUUCUAUUGGGAAACCGUCAAAUUCUUAGAAAUUCAAAACGGGCUUGAAUUAAAAAAAAACUUGCAAAUUCUUGGAAGAUGUCAAUCACUUGUAUCAAUUUGGGAUAGGAAACACAUUUCUUGGAAACAUUUUUCCAAAUAAAAAGAAAAUUAAAUCCAA